CAGGUGGCUGUGCUUGUCUGUGAUAACCUCGUGCCAAUCGCUCGUCCCUGUGACGGCGUAAACGCAUUCGGAUGUCUACCCUAUCCAUUUUUGAUGCAAUUUUCCGCACCUACCAUGGUGACCACUGGUAACAGGGAAUCAGGGUUCGAUUCCAGAGAGGGAGCCUGAGAAAUGGCUACCACAUGCAAGGAAGGCAGCAGGCGCACAAAUUACCCACUCCUGACGCCGGGAAGUAGUGA